rnacentral:rRNA from 1 species
ACGGCUCAGUAACACGUGGAUAACCUGCCCAAGGGUCUGGGAUAACCCCAGGAAACUGGGGAUAAUACCGGAUGGAUCACUAGUGCUGGAAUGCUUGGUGGUCGAAAGGCAACGCCUUUGGAUGGGUCUGCGGCGGAUUAGGUUGACGCCGGUGUAACGUACCGGCGUGCCUGUAAUCCGUACGGGUUGUGGGAGCAAGAGCCCGGAGAUGGAUUCUGAGACACGAAUCCAGGCCCUACGGGGCGCAGCAGGCGCGAAAACUCUACAAUGCAGGCAACUGCGAUAGGGGGACAUCGAGUGGCAUCCACCUUGGGUGCCUGUCCAACCGUCUAAAAAACGGUUGUUAGCAAGGGCCGGGUAAGACCGGUGCCAGCCGCCGCGGUAAUACCGGCGGCUCGAGUGGUGGCCGAUAUUAUUGAGUCUAAAGGGUCCGUAGCCGGCUUUGCAAGUCCCCUGGGAAAUCCAGCGGCUUAACCGUUGGGCUUUCAUGGGAUACUACAUUGCUUGGGACUGGGAGAGGUAGGAGGUACUCGGGGGGUAGGGGUGAAAUCCUGUAAUCCUCCGGGGACCACCGGUGGCGAAGGCGUCCUACCAGAACAGGUCCGACGGUGAGGGACGAAAGCUAGGGGCACGAACCGGAUUAGAUACCCGGGUAGUCCUAGCCGUAAACGAUGCCCGCUAGGUGUCACGACGGUCGUGAAUCGUCGUGGUGCCGUAGGGAAGCCGCGAAGCGGGCCACUUGGGAAGUACGGCCGCAAGGCUGAAACUUAAAGGAAUUGGCGGGGGAGCAC